ACCUGGGUGGCUUAGUCAGUUAAGCCUCUGACUUUAGCUCAGGUCAUGAUCUCGCAGUUCGUGGGUUCGAACCCCACGUUGGGCU
rnacentral:tRNA from 1 species